GGUAACCUGCCCUUAAGUGGGGGAUAACAUUUGGAAACAGAUGCUAAUACCGCAUAGAUCCAAGAACCGCAUGGUUCUUGGCUGAAAGAUGGCGUAAGCUAUCGCUUUUGGAUGGACCCGCGGCGUAUUAGCUAGUUGGUGAGGUAAUGGCUCACCAAGGCGAUGAUACGUAGCCGAACUGAGAGGUUGAUCGGCCACAUUGGGACUGAGACACGGCCCAAACUCCUACGGGAGGCAGCAGUAGGGAAUCUUCCACAAUGGACGCAAGUCUGAUGGAGCAACGCCGCGUGAGUGAAGAAGGCUUUCGGGUCGUAAAACUCUGUUGUUGGAGAAGAAUGGUCGGCAGAGUAACUGUUGUCGGCGUGACGGUAUCCAACCAGAAAGCCACGGCUAAUUACGUGCCAGCAGCCGCGGUAAUACGUAGGUGGCAAGCGUUAUCCGGAUUUAUUGGGCGUAAAGCGAGCGCAGGCGGUUUUUUAAGUCUGAUGUGAAAGCCCUCGGCUUAACCGAGGAAGCGCAUCGGAAACUGGGAAACUUGAGUGCAGAAGAGGACAGUGGAACUCCAUGUGUAGCGGUGAAAUGCGUAGAUAUAUGGAAGAACACCAGUGGCGAAGGCGGCUGUCUGGUCUGUAACUGACGCUGAGGCUCGAAAGCAUGGGUAGCGAACAGGAUUAGAUACCCUGGUAGUCCAUGCCGUAAACGAUGAAUGCUAGGUGUUGGAGGGUUUCCGCCCUUCAGUGCCGCAGCUAACGCAUUAAGCAUUCCGCCUGGGGAGUACGACCGCAAGGUUGAAACUCAAAGGAAUUGACGGGGGCCCGCACAAGCGGUGGAGCAUGUGGUUUAAUUCGAAGCAACGCGAAGAACCUUACCAGGUCUUGACAUCUUUUGAUCACCUGAGAGAUCAGGUUUCCCCUUCGGGGGCAAAAUGACAGGUGGUGCAUGGUUGUCGUCAGCUCGUGUCGUGAGAUGUUGGGUUAAGUCCCGCAACGAGCGCAACCCUUAUGACUAGUUGCCAGCAUUUAGUUGGGCACUCUAGUAAGACUGCCGGUGACAAACCGGAGGAAGGUGGGGAUGACGUCAAAUCAUCAUGCCCCUUAUGACCUGGGCUACACACGUGCUACAAUGGAUGGUACAACGAGUUGCGAGACCGCGAGGUCAAGCUAAUCUCUUAAAGCCAUUCUCAGUUCGGACUGUAGGCUGCAACUCGCCUACACGAAGUCGGAAUCGCUAGUAAUCGCGGAUCAGCACGCCGCGGUGAAUACGUUCCCGGGCC
rnacentral:rRNA from 2 species